rnacentral:rRNA from 1 species
GACGAACGCUGGCGGCGUGCUUAACACAUGCAAGUCGAGCGAACAAAACUCCUUCGGGAGUGGAGUUAGCGGCGGACGGGUGAGUAACACGUGGGUAACCUGCCUUAUAGAGGGGGAUAGCCUUCCGAAAGGAAGAUUAAUACCGCAUAAGAAGUAGAAGUCGCAUGGCUUUAGCUUUAAAGGAGCAAUCCGCUAUAAGAUGGACCCGCGGCGCAUUAGCUAGUUGGUGAGGUAACGGCUCACCAAGGCAACGAUGCGUAGCCGACCUGAGAGGGUGAUCGGCCACAUUGGAACUGAGACACGGUCCAGACUCCUACGGGAGGCAGCAGUGGGGAAUAUUGCACAAUGGGCGAAAGCCUGAUGCAGCAACGCCGCGUGGGUGAUGAAGGUUUUCGGAUCGUAAAGCCCUGUCUUUUGGGACGAUAAUGACGGUACCAAAGGAGGAAGCCACGGCUAACUACGUG